AGGAAAUCCAAUCUCUCCCACUCCAGCCUGCCUACUCAUUGAACAUGGCUGCUAUCUCUGUCUUCUGGAAACAUGGCUCCAAUCCUGCAACAACUCUACACAAGAGCUCCCAGUGAAAGCUUUCACUAGACCUUGAUGGCACUAUGGUCAUUAUCUCGUCAAAACUGUGGUGGAUUUGAAGAGCUAGUGAUGAAGAAUGGAGGUUUCCUGUCCUAGAAAUAACCAAAGGCCCAGGCUUGGAGGUGGCAGAAAAAGUGGCACUUAAGUUACUAGCCCAGUAUUUGGAAUUUGUCAAAGCUAUAUUCCUCAGAAUUUACUUCAAGAGCUCCUUUGUAUCAGCGGAGAAUGAAGAACGGAGAAGAGGAGGAGGAGGUUGAAAGAAACUUAAGAGAUGUGGCAACUAAUUGCAACGUGUAGAUUGUAUUUAGCUCAUGAUUCACACACACUAGAUACUUGUUAUUAAAGAAUUAUGGUUGUUUUCGGUGUGA
rnacentral:antisense_RNA from 1 species